ensembl:snoRNA Gm24451 predicted gene, 24451
AGCCUCCUACUGCUUACCACAGGCUGUGUGUUCUUAUACUGACUGUAUAGAAAGAGGAGGCAAAGGAAACCUAACCCCAAGUACACCCCAGCCUGAGCCACUGUGCCUGGUCUGUAUUGUGAAUGGGGAGACAUGG